rnacentral:lncRNA from 1 species
AUUCACCCUCCAGGCCCGAGUUUCUGUUCACACAGAGAAACCUUGUGGCCCCCUAGGCCCCUGAAACGCCAGCAGAGUCCAGCAAGUGCCCAGAGCACCCCACAAACCAGCAGACCCAAGAAAUGCUGCGAGUAUCUGGAGGUAAUGCUGCAAUUCAAUCGCGGUUCACCAAAGUGUCCAACAUCACAUGCGAACCCAAACCUGGCAAGAUUGUUGCUAAAAAUUUAUAAAGGUAAUAAGGAACUAAUGCCUCCUAAUAUAAAAGAUGAAAUAUCCAGGAUACAGUCAAACAGCACGUGUUAUGUCAAAAUCAAGAAAACCAAACAAGAUCAUAGAAGACGAUGAACUUCUGGGCACAACAUGAAUCCUCUGAAUCAUCUGACAGAGAUUUUAACUCAGCCACAGUGAAAUUUCAACACUGUUACAAAUUGUUUUGACGUCACCAUCGUUUAAUUUUAGAACAGGUUUAGACUGACAGGAAAGUUCUGAAGACGGGACAGGAAGCUCCCGCAAACCUCUGCCAGUUCCGUACUGCAAACCCUCACGAGUGGAAUGUGUGCGUCACAACGCGGGGAGCGAGGGGGCCUCACCAGCAACUCGAAGCCGUACUUUCCUCCAGGUUCUUCGGGCGUUUGUCUCUUUUUUUCCUCCACGAUCCCAUCACAGAUAAACACGAAGCAUCCACCACACCGCUCCGCUAGGCUGCAGCGGCUUCUCAGACUUCCCGCUGCUGAGGCCCUGGGCCUUCCCCGGAGUCGCGGUGAGGCAGGCUUUCUAUAAAUUGCCCAGGCUGCCCCCACCACCCAUAGAGCUGGGAAUACAGCAGGUAAAUGACAAGUUGACCCUGGUUGUCCUGGGAGCCCUGGGUUCUGUGGAGUACAUGUGGCCUUGGGUACUCUGCCUGGUCCCUGGCCUCUUUUAUUCUGGAGCUGCUGCCCAUCUCUGCUUCCCAGCUGCCACAACAAACCUCUCUACUCUCUCGUGCUCUUCUGCCAAAAUGCUCCUGCCCAACAGUCAGCUGACCUUGGACUGAAUCCCCCCAACCCACGAGGUAAAUUGAAUCUCUCUUCUUAAUUAUGUGAGUAUGGAGUAUUGUGUCCCCAAA